GUCUGCAGCCUUUGUCUGCGCUGAUCUUCAGAUACAAAUGCGUCAUUAAAAUGAACUGUAACUCAGUGAAUACUCAACGAAGAGACAUGAGAGAGAUAUCUAUAGAAAGCCUGACAUGUCUACUUUUAAACUAAACAAGUGCUGCUGAAAACAAAUAUUCUGUGAUAAAGUAAUCCAUAUGAAAACAACGCGAUGUCCGUUUUUCACGUCUCCCUUCAUUAUCUUGUAAUGCGACCACGCCCCCGCGCCGAGCGCGCUUUUGAGAUUCAAAUGUUUCACUGAAGCGCGCGGCUUUUGAAUACGCCCACACAACAGAAGACAACGCAGCGAGACUGUUCUUCAAGUUUUUAUUAUUUUACUGUUUGCUUCGCGAUGAGAGGAAUAAGACAUAAUUCACCCCAAAAAGAUGUGAUGUGGUUGAGGAUUUGAGAUUUGGAUUUCCUCAGAAAAAAGAAUGAAGCACUUUAUUCAGCAGAGAUCAUAAACAUGAGGACACAUGAGAGACACGUGUGUUUAUCUGGUGAAGAGUGACUGAUGAAUGAAUGCUGCCAUCAAACCCUCAAUCUUUUGUGGUGGAGCAGGUGACGGUGGCAUUUGUGAAAAAAAAAGGAAAACCUGAAACC
ensembl:lncRNA